GUUCCUAUGGUCUAGUGGUUAUGACGCUUCGUUGUGGUCUACGAGGUUCGGACUCCGAAGCAGCCCGCGUUCGAUUCGCGGUGGGGACA